rnacentral:rRNA from 1 species
GUUGCUGGCUGUCGUCAGCUCGUGUCGUGAGAUGUUGGGUUAAGUCCCGCAACGAGCGCAACCCUCAUCCUUAGUUACCAUCAGGUAAUGCUGGGGACUUUAAGGAAACUGCCAGUGAUAAACUGGAGGAAGGUGGGGAUGAUGUCAAGUCAUCAUGGCCCUUAUGGAGUGGGCUACACACGUGCUACAAUGGUGGCUACAAUGGGCUGCAAAGUCGCGAGGCUAAGCUAAUCCCUUAAAAGCCAUCUCAGUUCGGAUUGUACUCUGCAACUCGAGUGCAUGAAGU